AACAAACGCUGGCGGCGUGCCUAAUACAUGCAAGUCGAUCGAGGUAGCAAUACCUAGAGGCGCACGGGUGGGUAACACGUAGGUAAUCUGCCCUCGAGUGGGGAAUAACUAAUCGAAAGAUUAGCUAAUACCGCAUAAGACCACGAGAUCUGAGGAUCACGAGGUCAAAGGAGCAAUUCGCUUGAGGAUGAGCCUGCGUCGGAUUAGCUAGUUGGUGAGGUAACGGCUCACCAAGGCAAUGAUCCGUAGCUGGUCUGAGAGGAUGAUCAGCCACACUGGAACUGAGACACGGUCCAGACUCCUACGGAGGCAGCAGUGGGGAAUCUUGCGCAAUGGGCGAAAGCCUGACGCAGCGACGCCGCGUGGGUGAUGAAGGCC
rnacentral:rRNA from 1 species